rnacentral:rRNA from 1 species
UACGUAGGGCGCAAGCGUUGUCCGGAAUUAUUGGGCGUAAAGAGCUCGUAGGUGGUGUGUCGCGUCUGCCGUGAAAGCCCGGGGCUUUAACUCCGGGUCUGCGGUGGAUACGGGCAGACUAGAGGCAGGUAGGGGAGAACGGAAUUCCCGGUGUAGCGGUGAAAUGCGCAGAUAUCGGGAGGAACACCGAUGGCGAAGGCAGCUCGCUGGGACGGUACUGACGCUGAGGCGCGAAAGCGUGGGGAGCGAACAGG